rnacentral:rRNA from 1 species
GUGAGGAAUAUUGGGCAAUAGACGCAAGUCUGACCCAGCCAUGCCGCGUGCAGGAUGACAGCCCUAUGGGUUGUAAACUGCUUUUGUACAGGAAGAAACCCCCGGUCGUGACCGGGGUUGACGGUACUGUGCGAAUAAGCAUCGGCUAACUCCGUGCCAGCAGCCGCGGUAAUACGGAGGAUGCAAGCGUUAUCCGGAUUCAUUGGGUUUAAAGGGUGUGUAGGCGGGACAAUAAGUCAGUGGUGAAAUCUUUCGGCUUAACCGGAAAACUGUCAUUGAUACUGUUGUUCUUGAGUUCAGUUGAGGUGGGCGGAAUGUGUAAUGUAGCGGUGAAAUGCAUAGAUAUUACACAGAACACCGAUUGCGAAGGCAGCUCACUAAACUGUUACUGACGCUGAGGCACGAAAGCGUGGGGAGCGAACAGGAUUAGAAACCCUGGUAGUCC